rnacentral:lncRNA from 1 species
UAAAUUUUUUCUUCACAACAUCUAUUGCUAUUAUGAAUUUUUAAGGAAUAGUAUAUCAAAUAAGGGAAUUCAAUUUAUAUCAAAAUCUUUGAAAAUUCUUUUCAAGAUUUUGAAGAUGGAUAUAAAAUUAAUUUUAGCUCUCUAUGUUCAAAUUGAUUAAUAAAAAAAGUACAUACAUAAUUUAAUGCUUUUGACUUUUUAAAUUUGAUAAUUAUAUGAUAGAAGAUUUAACAAAUCAUUUAUUUUGAAUUACAUAUAAUAAUGAAGAUACAU